GAUGAACGCUGGCGGCGUGCCUAAUACAUGCAAGUCGAGCGAACAGACGAGGAGCUUGCUCCUCUGACGUUAGCGGCGGACGGGUGAGUAACACGUGGAUAACCUACCUAUAAGACUGGGAUAACUUCGGGAAACCGGAGCUAAUACCGGAUAAUAUAUUGAACCGCAUGGUUCAAUAGUGAAAGACGGUUUUGCUGUCACUUAUAGAUGGAUCCGCGCCGCAUUAGCUAGUUGGUAAGGUAACGGCUUACCAAGGCAACGAUGCGUAGCCGACCUGAGAGGGGGAUCGGCCGCCUUGGAGCUGAGACACGGUCCAGACUCCUACGGGAGGCAGCAGUAGGGAACCUUCCGCAAUGGGCGAAAGCUUGACGGAGCAACGCCGCGUGAGUGAUGAAGGUCUUCGGAUCGUAAAACUCUGUUAUUAGGGAAGAACAAAUGUGUAAGUAACUAUGCACGUCUUGACGGUACCUAAUCAGAAAGCCACGGCUAACUACGUG
rnacentral:rRNA from 1 species